GACGAACGCUGGCGGCGUGCCUAAUACAUGCAAGUAGAACGCUGAAGGAGGAGCUUGCUUCUCUGGAUGAGUUGCGAACGGGUGAGUAACGCGUAGGUAACCUGCCUAGUAGCGGGGGAUAACUAUUGGAAACGAUAGCUAAUACCGCAUAAGAGUAGAUGUUGCAUGACAUUUGCUUAAAAGGUGCAAUUGCAUCACUACCAGAUGGACCUGCGUUGUAUUAGCUAGUUGGUGGGGUAACGGCUCACCAAGGCGACGAUACAUAGCCGACCUGAGAGGGUGAUCGGCCACACUGGGACUGAGACACGGCCCAGACUCCUACGGGAGGCAGCAGUAGGGAAUCUUCGGCAAUGGACGGAAGUCUGACCGAGCAACGCCGCGUGAGUGAAGAAGGUUUUCGGAUCGUAAAGCUCUGUUGUAAGAGAAGAACGAGUGUGAGAGUGGAAAGUUCACACUGUGACGGUAUCUUACCAGAAAGGGACGGCUAACUACGUG
rnacentral:rRNA from 1 species